rnacentral:rRNA from 1 species
UACGGAGGGUGCAAACGUUGCUCGGAAUCAUUGGGCGUAAAGCGCACGUAGGCGGCCUGACAAGUCGGGUGUGAAAGCCCUGGGCUCAACCCAGGAAGUGCACUCGAAACUGCCAGGCUUGAAUAUGGAAGAGGGUCGCGGAAUUCCCGGUGUAGAGGUGAAAUUCGUAGAUAUCGGGAGGAACACCAGUGGCGAAGGCGGCGACCUGGGCCAAUAUUGACGCUCAUGUGCGAAAGCGUGGGGAGCAAACAGG